rnacentral:rRNA from 1 species
UGAGGAAUAUUGGUCAAUGGGCGAGAGCCUGAACCAGCCAAGUCGCGUGAAGGAUGAAGGUUCUAUGGAUUGUAAACUUCUUUUAUUCGAGGGUAAAGUGAGGUACGUGUACCUUAUUGCAAGUAUCGAAUGAAUAAGCAUCGGCUAACUCCGUGCCAGCAGCCGCGGUAAUACGGAGGAUGCGAGCGUUAUCCGGAUUUAUUGGGUUUAAAGGGUGCGUAGGCGGUUUGUCAAGUCAGCGGUCAAACUGCGGGGCUUAACCUCGUAUUGCCGUUGAAACUGGCUGACUAGCGUGGCGUCGAGGUGUGCGGAAUGCGUUGUGUAGCGGUGAAAUGCAUAGAUAUGACGCAGAACUCCGAUUGCGAAGGCAGCACACCGGGCGCCUACGGACGCUGAGGCACGAAAGCGUGGGUAUCG